AUUGAACGCUGGCGGCAGGCCUAACACAUGCAAGUCGAACGGUAACAGGAAGAAGCUUGCUUCUUUGCUGACGAGUGGCGGACGGGUGAGUAAUGUCUGGGAAACUGCCUGAUGGAGGGGGAUAACUACUGGAAACGGUAGCUAAUACCGCAUAACGUCGCAAGACCAAAAAGGGGGACCUUCGGGCCUCUUGCCAUCGGAUGUGCCCAGAUGGGAUUAGCUAGUAGGUGGGGUAACGGCUCACCUAGGCGACGAUCCCUAGCUGGUCUGAGAGGAUGACCAGCCACACUGGAACUGAGACACGGUCCAGACUCCUACGGGAGGCAGCAGUGGGGAAUAUUGCACAAUGGGCGCAAGCCUGAUGCAGCCAUGCCGCGUGUAUGAAGAAGGCCUUCGGGUUGUAAAGUACUUUCAGCGGGGAGGAAGGGAGUAAAGUUAAUACCUUUGCUC
rnacentral:rRNA from 1 species